rnacentral:rRNA from 1 species
CGUGUCGGAUUACUGGGCGUAAGAGCUCGUAGGUGGUUUGUCGCGUUGUUCGUGAAAACUCACAGCUUAACUGUGGGCGUGCGGGCGAUACGGGCAGACUAGAGUACUGCAGGGGAGACUGGAAUUCCUGGUGUAGCGGUGGAAUGCGCAGAUAUCAGGAGGAACACCGGUGGCGAAGGCGGGUCUCUGGGCAGUAACUGACGCUGAGGAGCGAAAGCGUGGGGAGCGAACAGGAUUAGAUACCCUGGUAGUCCACGCCGUAAACGGUGGGUACUAGGUGUGGGUUUCCUUCCUUGGGAUCCGUGCCGUAGCUAACGCAUUAAGUACCCCGCCUGGGGAGUACGGCCGCAAGGCUAAAACUCAAAGAAAUUGACGGGGGCCCGCACAAGCGGCGGAGCAUGUGGAUUAAUUCGAUGCAACGCGAAGAACCUUACCUGGGUUUGACAUGCACAGGACGCCAGUAGAGAUAUUGGUUCCCUUGUGGCCUGUGUGCAGGUGGUGCAUGGCUGUCGUCAGCUCGUGUCGUGAGAUGUUGGGUUAAGUCCCGCAACGAGCGCAACCCUUAUCUUAUGUUGCCAGCGCGUAAUGGCGGGGACUCGUGAGAGACUGCCGGGGUCAACUCGGAGGAAGGUGGGGAUGACGUCAAGUCAUCAUGCCCCUUAUGUCCAGGGCUUCACACAUGCUACAAUGGCCGGUACAAAGGGCUGCGAUGCCGUGAGGUGGAGCGAAUCCUUUCAAAGCCGGUCUCAGUUCGGAUCGGGGUCUGCAACUCGACCCCGUGAAGUCGGAGUCGCUAGUAAUCGCAGAUCAGCAACGCUGCGGUGAAUACGUUCCCGGGCCUUGUACACACCGCCCGUCACGUCAUGAAAGUCGGUAACACCCGAAGCCGGUGGCCUAACCCUUGUGGAGGGAGCCGUCGAAGUGGGAUCGGCGAUUGGACGAAGUCGUACAAGUACCCGU